UUUGGUUACUACAUGAUUCCAAAUGUGUUAUUUCAUAGUUUUGAUCUCUUCACUAUUAUUCUACAAUGUAGAAAAUAGUAAAUUAAUGAGUAGGUGUGUCCAAACUUUUGACUGGUACUGUAUGUCCAUGUGCUUCCAUCAAGUGUGAGAAAGCAGUGGAUUGUACAUACUGUAGUCGUAACAUGUUCAAGCUUCCAAAAUCUUUUUUUAAAUUGAGGAGUACCGAGAUGACUGCGCAGUAGCUUCAAUACAGCGCCCCCUGUCAGUCAUACAGGAUUUAUGCACAUUAUUGGCCUCCUGAGGUCUAAGGCACUGCAUCGCUGUGCUGAGGCUUCACUACAGACUCGGAUCAAAUCUAAGCUCUGUCACACCUGGCCGUGACCGGGAGACCCAUGAGGCGGCGCCGGGAUGUCCUUCUCUCAUCGUGCUCUAGCGACUCCUUUGGCGGGCCAGGCACCUGGAAGCUGACUUCGGUUGGACGGUGUUUCCACCGACACAUUGGUGUGGCUGGCUUCUGGGCUAAGCAAGCAAUGGGUCAAGCAGUGUGGCUUGGCAGGGUCAUGUUUCGGAGGACACAUGGCUCUCGAUCUUUGUCUCUCCCGAGUCCGUAGUAGAGUUGCAGCGAUGAGACAAGACUGUAACUACCAAUUGGAUGCCACAAAAAAAAGUGUUAAAAGUAACAAAUGUAUUUCUAAUUUUUUUAAAGGUGCUACACCUAGAAUUUCUCCCCCAUGUGGAAGCUAGGUGAAUUGCAAGAGCACUAGACUGCAUUCAAAAUAAAUCUCCCCCGCAAACCAUUUCCAUCAUAGCCACCUAAUCAUCCCCAGCUUCCAAUUUGCUUAUCCACCCCUCUCCUCCCCCUGUAGCUGUCCCCCAGUCAACUUACCUGGUAAAAUAAGGAUUGAAUGAGAAUGGCCGCAAUAAACAUGAAAUACAUUUUUUCAUCAUAUGUAUCGAAUAUCGAUGGAAUUAUCAGCCGAUGUCAAUAUACCGGUAAAAAUCAAUAUACCAAUAACGGCCGACAAUAUCGGUGAAUAUAUAUAUAUAUAUAUUAGUCAUGUUCUAGAGUAAAUUCAUUUGGGUGGUCAAACUUAUUACAGUGCCAGUCAAAAGUUUGGACACACCUACUCAUUUAAGGGUUUUUCUUUAUUUUGACUAUUUUAUACAUUGUAGAAUAAUAGUGACGACGUCAAUACUAUGAAAUAACACAUCAGGAA